AGAGUUUGAUCCUGGCUCAGGAUGAACGCUGGCGGCGUGCUUAACACAUGCAAGUCGAACGAUGACUUUUGUGCUUGCACAAAAUGAUUAGUGGCGAACGGGUGAGUAACACGUGAGUAACCUGCCCUUAACUUCGGGAUAAGCCUGGGAAACCGGGUCUAAUACCGGAUACGACGGACCACCGCAUGGCGGUCCGUGGAAAGCUUGAUGCGGUUUUGGAUGGACUCGCGGCCUAUCAGCUAGUUGGUUGGGGUAAUGGCCCACCAAGGCGACGACGGGUAGCCGGCCUGAGAGGGUGACCGGCCACACUGGGACUGAGACACGGCCCAGACUCCUACGGGAGGCAGCAGUGGGGAAUAUUGCACAAUGGGCGAAAGCCUGAUGCAGCGACGCCGCGUGAGGGACGAAGGCCUUCGGGUUGUAAACCUCUUUCAGCAGGGAAGAAGCGAAAGUGACGGUACCUGCAGAAGAAGCGCCGGCUAACUACGUGCCAGCAGCCGCGGUAAUACGUAGGGCGCAAGCGUUAUCCGGAAUUAUUGGGCGUAAAGAGCUCGUAGGCGGUUUGUCGCGUCUGCUGUGAAAGCCCGGGGCUCAACCCCGGGUCUGCAGUGGGUACGGGCAGACUAGAGUGCAGUAGGGGAGACUGGAAUUCCUGGUGUAGCGGUGAAAUGCGCAGAUAUCAGGAGGAACACCGAUGGCGAAGGCAGGUCUCUGGGCUGUAACUGACGCUGAGGCGCGAAAGCGUGGGGAGCAAACAGGAUUAGAUACCCUGGUAGUCCACGCUGUAAACGAUGAAUACUAGGUGUGGGAGGACUGACCCCUUCCGUGCCGCAGUUAACACAAUAAGUAUUCCACCUGGGGAGUACGGCCGCAAGGCUGAAACUCAAAGGAAUUGACGGGGGCCCGCACAAGCAGUGGAUUAUGUGGUUUAAUUCGACGCAACGCGAAGAACCUUACCAGGACUUGACAUCCAACUAACGAAGUAGAGAUACAUUAGGUGCCCUUCGGGGAAAGUUGAGACAGGUGGUGCAUGGUUGUCGUCAGCUCGUGUCGUGAGAUGUUGGGUUAAGUCCCGCAAUGAGCGCAACCCCUAUUGUUAGUUGCUACGCAAGAGCACUCUAGCGAGACUGCCGUUGACAAAACGGAGGAAGGCGGGGACGAUGUCAAAUCAUCAUGCCCCUUAUGUCCUGGGCUACACACGUAAUACAAUGGCCGUCAACAAAGGGAAGCAAAGCCGCGAGGUGGAGCAAAUCCCCAAAAACGGUCUCAGUUCGGAUUGCAGGCUGCAACUCGCCUGCAUGAAGCUGGAAUUGCUAGUAAUCGUGGAUCAGCAUGCCACGGUGAGCACGUUCCCGGGCCUUGCACUCACCGCCCGUCA
rnacentral:rRNA from 1 species